UGGAACCCUAGGUUCUUCUUCUCACUAUAAGAAAAGAAAGAGACACCAAAGAUAUUCCUCUCUCCUCAUGCACAGAGAAAAGUGUGGGUGAGAGCACAGUGAGAAGGGAGCCAUCUACAAGCCAGGAAGACAGGUCUCACCAGAAACCAACCCUGAUGUUACCUUGCUCUUGGACUUGUCGCCUCCAAAACUGUUCAUUCUUCGACUCCAUGAGACAAGAACCUAGCUUUCUCCUUUCAGUGUGAUGCCACCAUGACACGGCACUUAGGAAAUCAUCACUACAGAGCUUCAGCAAUGCCUCAGGACCUCAACUCCUAGAACAUGGUAGUGCACAAAGUCAACCCAUUCCAGAAAGUAUACUGAGUGCAACCUGCAGAGGAGGAGCAGAUGCAGGUCUGCCUGGUGCAUCAUUGAAGCAGAGGUUCAAUCAUAUGUUUAAAAUAGUCUUGCUCCUUGAAACUCUCUCUCUCUUACUGUUCCUUAA